rnacentral:rRNA from 1 species
CAGCCGCCGCGGUAAUACGAAGGGGGCUAGCGUUGCUCGGAAUCACUGGGCGUAAAGGGUGCGUAGGCGGGUCUUUAAGUCAGGGGUGAAAUCCUGGAGCUCAACUCCAGAACUGCCUUUGAUACUGAAGAUCUUGAGUUCGGGAGAGGUGAGUGGAACUGCGAGUGUAGAGGUGAAAUUCGUAGAUAUUCGCAAGAACACCAGAGGCGAAGGCGGCUCACUGGCCCGAUACUGACGCUGAGGCACGAAAGCGUGGGGAGCAAACAGGAUUAGAUACCCCCGUAGUCCCUGUCUCUUAUAC